rnacentral:rRNA from 1 species
UACGGGGGGGGCAAGCGUUGUUCGGAAUUACUGGGCGUAAAGGGCUCGUAGGCGGCCAACUAAGUCAGACGUGAAAUCCCUCGGCUUAACCGGGGAACUGCAUCUGAUACUGGAUGGCUUGAGUUCGGGAGAGGGAUGCGGAAUUCCAGGUGUAGCGGUGAAAUGCGUAGAUAUCGGGAGGAACACCGGCGGCGAAGGCGGCUGCCUGGACCAGUCCUGACGCUGAGGCGCGAAAGCGUGGGGAGCGAACAGG